UGAACAUCUCAGCUCUGCAGGGGAUGACACCCAGUCUCAUGACAGGUUAACAAGCUGUUGGGCAUUUAACAUGCCCUGGAGCAUCCGACUGGUUUUGCUGGGGCAGGCAGCAGGGCUGCCUGUACACGUCCACAAACGAACCGCAUUUUCAAAGCGGGAGGCGGCUGCCUUGCAGAAAAUAAUUUAGCAAUCUUAAAAGUUAAAAAGUCAGAAGUUCAUCCUGACCACACUCAGCACUACAAAUCUCAGAGGAAAGAGGCCAGAUGAGGUUCUCACAUCCAGACCCUUCCAGAAAUACAGCUGCAGAGUUUCACAACCUUGGCUUCUGCUAAGGGAGACAGCAGAACGCAGCAGCUAGCCCUGCUCCCACAGUACCAACAUCUGCCUCAGAAGCAGCAUCUUCCCCUGCCUCAUGGUCCUGGACAGUUGUUACCUCUUCCAUGGUGGGAUUUGGUAUUUUCUUCUGUCAAAAAACGGAUGCAGGAACUCUACAGGUGCACACACUAUCAUGUCUCCAGCUCUGGCUGCUGAUUCUCUGACAGCAGAAGGCCCAAGACAC
rnacentral:lncRNA from 1 species